rnacentral:rRNA from 1 species
GAUGAACGCUGGCGGCGUGCUUAACACAUGCAAGUGGAGCGACGAACCAGGGCUUGCCCUGGGGCAGAGCCGCGAACGGGUGAGUAACACGUGGGUAACCUACCUUGAUGACCGGGACAACCCGAGGAAACUCGGGCUAAUACCGGAUGUGCUCCUUCCACAUCAGUGGAUUGAGGAAAGAUAGCUUCGGCCUUCGCAUCAAGAUGGGCCCGCGGAGCAUUAGUUUGUUGGUGGGGUAACGGCCUACCAAGACUUCGAUGCUUAGCUGGUCUGAGAGGACUAUCAGCCCGCCUGGGGAUGAGACACGGCCCAGACUCCUACGGGAGGCAGCAGUGGGGAAUCUUGCACAAUGCGCGAAAGCGUGAUGCAGCAACGCCGCGUGGGGGAAGAAGGCCUUCGGGUUGUAGACCCCUUUCUGUUGGGACGAAGCUUCGACGGUUAAUAGCCGGCGGGAGUGACGGUACCUUCAGAAGAAGCCCCGGCUAACUACGUGCCAGCAGCCGCCGUAACAC